GGGGAGUUGAUUUCUUUGACUAGAGAAACAAUAGAAGCUGGAGCUCUUGUGGAAGAAGAUAACCCUCAAUCUCAAAGAAGGUGGUCUUUGGUUUUGCAGCUCAGUUUUUCUCUUGCUGUCGAUCUGCUUGAGAAGGAUCCCAGUACUGAUCCCAUCCGCCGCUCCUGCUGCUUUGGGGACAAGGCAGAAGGGAAAAAAAGCAAUGAUGGGAAGGAAAGGUCCUGCUGCUUGGUAGAGCAUCCCGCUCUGCAUGCCUUCUCCUCUCUGCAGGGAUUGGUGUCCUGCUACUUGUCUCCAGCAGCUGCCUCGUAUCUGCUACCUUAUGGAUGCCUUCCAACUCGGGAUAUCCUAUGAGUCUUCCUUCAUUGUCCUUCUACUGAACCUGGGACCUCCACAGUGAGCAGCUAAAGGUAUUCUGGGUCUACACCGGUGAGAAGAGAGAAGCUCUCUGCGAGGCCUGGAAGUAUGACACAUGCUUAUGAGCAGACUCUAGGCACAUACAAUGUACUCAUUAAUGCCACGGGGACUGCUGUGCCAGCAGGAGGGAUUCUAGCCCCAAAAAGCACUGCGAGAGCUGCGUGACCCCUCACCCCCAGGCAGAAGUGGGGGAGGACACCUCCAUCUUGUAAUCUGCAUCUGUCAAAAGAAGUGCUCUCCUCAUUUUCUGCCAGUUUGGGAAGGGUUAAUGAGGGAAGCACAGCCCCCAGGGGCCAGCACUGUUGUUCCAUGCAGAUUGGCUUGUUCUUGUUUCUUCCAUCGAUCGCAAUCACUCAGAGCUGUGCCUGUAACAAACUGCCUUAAAUCAUUGCAAUCAUAAUAAGCACACCUUGGUAAAUAAUGCAUGAGGUGUCCGUAAGCCUAUAUUCAUUAGGAGGAAGGCGCAUAUAGAGCACGGUAAUCAUCUGGGCUCAAGGAGGGGCUUGGAUGGUGGGGCUGAGCCGGGUUUGGGGGCAAGGCUCUCCAGCCCCUCAGAUGUUGGAAACGUAGGCGGGUUCCUUGUCACCUUCAUGAAUUUUGUACGAGAUGUUUAAAAUGCCUGUAAGGUUUGCAUUGUAAUCCAGGUUGGGUAGAAGUGGGCUUGUGGCGAGUCUCCAAGUGGUAUAAUAGCAAGGCAUCACAAUUAAUCGUGUUUAAUAUGUUUUAAUGACUCAAAGCACGUGGUGUGUAACAAGUUUUGCUGUGAGAGCCUCGUAGCCAAGUUAAUGGUCUGGAUAUUAGGAGCCACUGUUUUAAAGCACAAAUU
rnacentral:lncRNA from 7 species